rnacentral:tRNA from 3 species
GGCGUCAUGGUCUAGAGGUAUGAUUCUUGCUUUGGGUGCAAGAGGUCCCGGGUUCAAUCCCCGGUGACGCCC